UCACAACCUGUUGUUUCUUGGAAGGGCUCCUGUGCCAGAACUGGAGCCAGGUGUUGCUCCGGUCAGCUGGCACGGACAGUUUGAACAACACACGAGCUACUCGAUAAUACCUCGCUGACGUGGCUGCCCAGGACGUCAGUCCCUGGCUAUGGAAACACACCUGGCUGCCAUUGCCUGGAGAGACUGCCAGGAUACCAAGGCUUUGUGAUAGCUGCAUGACGAGCUGUAAACACCAUCUGUGGUUCAUGCGAAGCUUCCUUCACCUCAAAACAAAAGCAAACACAGUUUCUUACCAAGACAGUUUGUUUGAGUGAAGUAUUAUUACUAAGUGACAGCACAACAUCUGUGCACCUACCACAAAAGGCCUCAACUUCAUUCCUUCCAUGUUAAAAGAAAGAAAAUGCCCCUGAGUGCCAAAGUAACCAGACUUCUCAUUAUGUUGGAAAAGCUGCCAAGUGUGACUGACAAAUGGAGCUAAAUAA
rnacentral:lncRNA from 1 species